rnacentral:rRNA from 1 species
GACGAACGCUGGCGGCGUGCCUAACACAUGCAAGUCAAGGGCCCCUCGGGGCACUGGCGCACGGGUGAGUAACGCGUAGGUAAUCUGCCUUUAUCCGAGACAUAAUAUCGGGAAACUGGUACUAAUAUCUCAUGAGGCCGAGAGGUCAAAGUUUAAUACGGAUAGAGAUGAGCCUGCGUCUGAUUAGCUAGUUGGUAAGGUAAUGGCUUACCAAGGCGACGAUCAGUAGCUGGUCUGAGAGGACGAUCAGCCACACUGGAACUGAGACACGGUCCAGACUCCUACGGGAGGCAGCAGUGAGGAAUUUUGCGCAAUGGGGGCAACCCUGACGCAGCGACGCCGCGUGCGGGAUGAAGGAGCUUUGCUUCGUAAACCGCUGUCGGAUAGGAAGAAAAGCGGUAAGAACCGUCGGGACAGUACUAUCAAAGGAAGCACCGGCUAACUACGUG